AGGGCGCUGCUUUUAAUCUUCUGGAAAUCAAUCCUGACUCAAGUUUUCGAUUCAUUGACUUGAACACUCGGGUGGUCGCUUCCCCCAGAGUCAGUGUGCGCGUUUGAAGGGCGGAGAACCGCUCGAUUCUCACAGUGCACCAGGGAGGUUUCUGUUAUAGUAUUUCCUUGCUGGUCUCCUCCUCAUGCUAUAUCUUUUACCCAGCUGAGUAGCUCUAACGAGCACCCGGAGGAUAACUGGCAAAACAGCAGAGGAGUUCAGAGCCCGACGAAGGAAAAGUUACAGAAAUCCGGAGCCCGCCUCCCAGCGCCGCAGGAAGCGUGCUGCAGAGGAGCACGCAUCUGCUUCCGUGCGUGCAGUUCCAGGCCGCCGGUUCUGCUGUCAGAGUGGUCCGUCAGAGCCCAUCUGAGAGCGUUUCAGCAAGGCUCUGGAGAGCAAAACUCCCAACUGCGUUCAUAGCUCUGACCCCAGCCCCACCAGCAACAGCGUAUGUUGUAUUGAGAGAAAGGAUGUGUUGUCACUUCUGUGCUCCUGACCUCCCUACUUGCCUGCCAUGAGCAUUGCCUCUGAGCGAGCUCUCACCGUGAGGAGAGGUCGUGUGGGAGAGGUCCAGUCUGCUCUCCAGGGCAGCCAGCUUCACCUGUCCUCGUUCUGGGUGCCUGAUCGCAUGGAACCUGCAUGUCCUCUCACGGGCGAAGAGGAGUAUAGAGAAUCAAGAACCAACUUGUAAACUCUGCCCCUCAGCAUCUGCACCUUCCUCUGCUAUCACAUGUGCUUGAAUAUGCAUGAAUUGUGUCUCCCCAAAUUCAUAUGUUGAAGCCCUCGCCCCCAAGGUGACUGUCUUUGUAGAUGGGCCUCUCAGGAAAUGAUUACGUUUAAAUGAGAUCAUAAGGGGCAGGGCCCUAAUUCAAUAAGGCAGAUGUCCUUAUAAGAAGAGGAAGAGAUACCAGAACCGCAAACCGGUC
rnacentral:lncRNA from 1 species